GACGAGCGCUGGCGGCGUGCCUAACACAUGCAAGUGGAGCGACGAACCAGACUUCGGUCUGGGGCCAAGCCGCGAACGGGUGAGUAACACGUGGGUAACCUGCCCCGAUGAUCGGGACAACCCGGGGAAACCCGGGCUAAUACCGAAUGUGGUCGCGGUCCGUGAGGACUGUGACGAAAGGAAGCUUCGGCCUCCGCAUCGGGAUGUGCCCGCGGCCCAUUAGCUUGUUGGUGGGGUAAAGGCCUACCAAGGCAUCGAUGGGUAGCUGGUCUGAGAGGACGAUCAGCCACACUGGGACUGAGACACGGCCCAGACUCCUACGGGAGGCAGCAGUGGGGAAUCUUGCGCAAUGCGCGAAAGCGUGACGCAGCAACGCCGCGUGGGGGAAGAAGGCUCUCGGGUCGUAAACCCCUUUCAGUUGGGACGAAGCUUCGCCGGUGAAUAGCCGGCCGGAGUGACGGUACCUUCACAAGAAGCCCCGGCUAACUACGUGCCAGCAGCCGCCGUAAUAC
rnacentral:rRNA from 1 species